CUACGGGCGGCUGCAGUGAGGAAUAUUGAACAAUGGGGGGAACCCUGAUGCAGCAACGCCGCGUGGAGGAUGACGCAUUUCGGUGUGUAAACUCCUUUAUAUGUCAAGAAAAUGACGGUAGCAUAUGAAUAAGCACCGGCUAACUCCGUGCCAGCAGCCGCGGUAAUACGGAGGGUGCAAGCGUUACUCGGAAUCACUGGGCGUAAAGGACGCGUAGGCGGGUUGGAAAGUCAGGUGUGAAAUCCUACAGCUUAACUGUAGAACUGCACUUGAAACUUCUAAUCUAGAGUAUGGGAGGGGGAGAUGGAAUUAGUGGUGUAGGGGUAAAAUCCGUAGAUAUCACUAGGAAUACCUAAGGCGAAGGCGAUCUCCUGGAACAUUACUGACGCUAAGGCGUGAAAGCGUGGGGAGCAAACAGGAUUAGAUACCCCAGUAGUC
rnacentral:rRNA from 1 species